GAUGAACGCUGACAGAAUGCUUAACACAUGCAAGUCUUUGGCGAAGCUGUGCUUGCACAGCCUAGCCAAGGCGGACGGGUGAGUAACGCGUAAGGAACUUGCCCUGCAGUCAGGGAUAACAGACGGAAACGACUGAUAAGACCUGGUAAAGUCAGGCGGACUCAUGUCCAGCCUGAUGAAAAGAGAUGCUGCAGGAGAGCCUUGCGUCCUAUUAGCUUGUUGGUGGGGUAACGGCCCACCAAGGCGAUGAUAGGUAGCCGGCCUGAGAGGGUGGACGGCCACAAGGGGACUGAGAUACGGCCCUUACUCCUACGGGAGGCAGCAGUGGGGAGUAUUGGACAAUGGGGGCAACCCUGAUCCAGCAAUUCUGUGUGCACGAUGAAGGUUUUCGGAUUGUAAAGUGCUUCCAGCAGGGAAGAAAAAAAUGACGGUACCUGCAGAAGAAGCGACGGCUAAAUACGUG
rnacentral:rRNA from 1 species